CAGCCAUUAGAGCUUUGCUUUUACAUUUUUACAUGUUUCAUUCUAAUCAGUACCACGCUUUGUACAAUAAUAGCACUAAAAUGCAUUUAUAUGCAAGGUGAAAAGUAAGUAUUACUUUGGAACCCAUUCAACUAAACAGGUGAGAUAUUAGAGCUUGAAGUGGAGAGGGUGAGCAGCUUUAAAUACCCAGUGGUCCACAUCAGCGAGGACCUCACCUGGACACUCAACACCAUCCAGCUGGUUAAGAAGGCACAACAGUGGUCCUACUCCCCGAGGAGGCUGAGGAAGUUUGGCAUGUCACUUAAGAUCCUUAACGUCUACAGCCGUGUUAUUGAGAUUGAUAUGGCAGCACUACUGUGAGGGAUCGUAGACAUUUGCAGAGAGUGGUGAAGACUGCUGAGAAGAUCAUCAGGACUCCAAUAACCUCUCUGAAGACACCACAGAGUCCACAGGAGAGCUGCCUCCAUCCUUAAGGACCCCACCCAUCCCCAACAUGGACUGUUUACACUCUUACCCUCAGGACAAAGGUACAGGGGUGUGAAAUGCAGGACUUCCAGAUUAAGGGACUCAUCUUUCCCUCAGCUAUUAGACUUUUAAAUAGGUAGCCAGAAUCUAUCACAUAGAUUAGUUGGACUAAAUUGCUCCUUCUCAUUUUGCACACUUGUUAAUGUUACUGCUGCUAUUAUUAUCAAGUAGCUGCAUUUCAAUUGCACAUUGUUAAUGCUGCCGCUACUAUUAUCUACAGCUGCAUUCAGUUUGCACAUGUUACUAUAGUACUAUUGUUUUGCACAUAAGUGAAUAUUGCAAUAUAAGUCAGUAUUGUACACUUGCACAUACAGAUAUACAUAGUCUAUAUCUCUAAUUCUACAGCAUAGUUUUAAUUUUAUUUUUAACAUAUAGUUUUUGUACUUGCCUUGGCACUCACCAGGGACAGCUAAGAAAUUUCACUGUACAGGAAAACCUGUCUUCCUCACUUUGCACACGACAAUAAACACUUUGAAUCUUUAGUCUCGGUUACUGUAUAAUACAGCUGUACUAUAAUAACUAUAAUAACUAGUUUAGGCACCAAUCAAACAUGCAAACAGCACUCAAUUAUUUACAGCUACUACACAAUUUCUAAAGCAGAACAGUGUGUUUCUUCUUACUGAGUAUUGUCUUCAAUGAGAAUGAACAGGAUUAUUGGAUAUUUUUUAUUUAUAAUUCUCCAAAUGGUUCUGCUUCUUUUGGAGUUGUGCCGAUUAUAUUUUUUUCCAAAAAAUACAUCACACCCCAUUGUUAGGUUUAUUGGGUAUAUUACGUACUGGACAUACACUACCGCUCAAAAGUUUGGGAUCACUUGCAUAUUUCAGCUACGGAGGGAGACUCUAUCAGCCAAUCCAUCUUGUGGGAGAUGCCCCAGAAAGCAUGGGGUGAAAUCUUAUCAGACUAUCUUGAAAAAUUAACAGCUAGGAUGCCCAGGCUGUAAUUCCUGCAAAAGGUGUUUUUUUUGAUGAAGGCAAAGUUUAAAGAAAACCUUCAUUUCCAUCAAAAUCAUUAUUUCUAACUCUGACAUGUCAGCAUGUCCUGUUCUUUUGCUAUAUUUUCUAUUCAGACUAAUUUCGUGUUUCCUUGGAAAACUAACAUUUUUGAGCGAUCCCAAACUUUUGAGCAGUAGUGUACAUUGACAUUUUGAAAUAUUUACACAUAAACUCAACAUAGUAUGAAACUAGAAGCAAGAACAUUUUUAUUCUUAAAUCAUUAAAAAAAAAAAACAAUGGUUAAAUGUGUUUAAACACACAAACAAAAAAUAAAAAAAAGUUGCAUACAAAGUACUCUGUCCAACAUUUAUACACAAACUGAAGAGAUGCACAACUGGCACAUCAUCCGUACAACAUGAAAUGAACUACGAUCCAUUAACGUGCAUGUCUUCCUCUCCGUUUUCCACUCCAUCAUCUUCCAUCUCGUCCCCACCGGCAGUGUUGUACAUGGACACAGACUCCUGCAUCCCCAUUUCAGGCUCAUCUUCCUCUUCUUCCUCGACCAUGCUCUGUGCACCUGGAAUAUUACGCAAAUGAACGUCACAGUGUGAACAAGACUGUCUCAACAACACACUUGUUUGAAUACAACGUUGUUUCUAUAGCGACGGCUCAUUAAUAGGGAUCAGUGUUUCUAUAGGAACGGCUCAUUAAGAGGGAUCAGUAUGGCUGACAUUCCACAUAAUCCAACACUAAUAAAUGGAUUAAAACCAUGGUGUCAGUUAACAAGGAAAAAUGUGAUCACUGAUACAGUGAAGGUUUCUGUAAGCAGACGUUUCUCUCAUAUUCAUAGGAGUCUCUAGUCAGUGCUUUGUUGCAUGCAGUUUGAGUUGGUCCAAUAUUUUUUGACAGGAUAAUCAGAUCCUCCCAAGUAUCAGCUUUAUACAUUUAUUUAGAUUAGAUAACUGAUGAGCUGACUCUACUUCAGCCGAUCGAACUGAGCUGACUUCUUUCCUGUUCACAUAGCUUCUUUGUGCCUGAGUGGCCCUUAAUGAAAUACAUUCUUUGCCAAACCAUAUUAGUGUUGUAGUUUUUAAUACCAGCUCUUCAAAAUGAGCAGUGCCACGAAAUUAAAGCCGGUGUAUUACCUUGUCUGCUUUCUCUUCCAGGGAUCUGACCAGACUGCAACAUUCCCUUCAACCUCUCCACUUCAGCCAGCGAUGUUGCAUUUGCGAUAGCAGCCUGUGGGCAAGAUGCCACUUUUAGCCAUUUAAUCAAUCGCAAUAAAUCACCCACACUUCAUUAUCGGAACAGAAACAAAAUCAGUAACCUUAAUGGCUUCCACGUCUGCCGCAGAAGGCCCCGUUUUUACUUUCUCAGCCUGCAGUCCGGCUCCUGGCGUGAACCUGAAACACACACACACAAGGUUUCUCAGGGGCUUGUUCAGGCAGACCUGCUCCUUCAGCCUUUUAACCACUGUUCUUUCAGUCAGAGUGUAGUAUCUUGUGGAUCUUAUCAUUUUCUUAAUAAGCUGAUACAAAGAGAGAAAUGCCUUGAGCCAGCUCUCCUGGAACACACUGCAGAUGGAUUUGUGGAUUUUUUUUUUGUAUGUGUGUGUGUGUAGUUUUAAGGUUUUAGUACAGCCAAUUGAACAGUUUGGGGUGAAAUCCAGAUCAGGUCACUGGGGUCUGAAGGCCCAAUAACACACUUCUUUAAGUCCAGUGAUUCAGAAGAGCUGUGCUUGAUCAAGGGCUUUCAUCUUACGUUUUUGUGCGCUUGGCAAUAUCCUUUGCAAGCUGAGCACCCCGUUUGCCUUUGAACAUUUUCUCAGCCUCUUGACGUUCCUACGGUGAUACAUCACAGAGUUAAUGCGAAAAAGCACAGACAUCAAGCAGGAUUUGACUCCAUUCGGAAUGAGGGACAGUUAAGCACCACAGAGGAAAAGGAAUGUACUUGAAAUAAGAAAGGAACACAAGUUAGUCUGCAGUAGCAGAUUAACAAUCACCAAUUCUGUGCUAAUGACCAAAGUUUCUUUCAGCUCCUUUGAAACUUCAGCUCAAUGAUUAGACCAGAUCUUGAUUUCACAUAUAAUACCUGGAGCACAUCCGAGUUCUUUUUAAUUAAUCGCAAAAGGUGCUCUGAACUAGCCUGGGCUUAAACGCACAUCUUCUUGAGAUGAUCCUGUCGUACAUACAAUCCGAUCUCAACAUUUAUUUCGAUUGACAGGCCCAAUUCAUCAUGAAUAGUAACUGUUUAUAUGGUGGUGGGACUUUAUGACUAAAGGACAGAAAAAAAGCUAAGUGUGUCUCUAUAUCUGGUAUCCCUUUCACUCUCCAUCACUAUGUCUGUAGAAAUUUUUUGUGGCCCAUCAGAUUUAAUAAAAGCAUCUUCCAAGUGCUCCUGCAAAGCUACAAACUCUAGCAGUAGCAUCACUGGCCUAUAAACAAAGCUUUAAGGAAAAGCAGGCCAAUUCCAGCCUCAUAUAUCAUCACACUUGAAAGUCUAUCCUACCACAUUAAACCCAAUGCUUUCUCUUCCUUCAAAUCAAACACUCAUCAUUGUACCCUACCUUUAAUUUCACCUUCUGGAAAUCCAGAACACGUAUCUGUGGAAGUUUGUUGAUGACAUACAGCCUGUAAUGCUUCUUGUUGGUUACUGGGUUUCUUAAGAGACUG